rfam:TPA: Bos taurus chromosome 13, whole genome shotgun sequence.
UCCCUGGUGGUCCAGUGGCUAAGACUUAGCACUCCCAAUGCAGGGGGCCUGGGUUCAAUCCCUGGUCAGGGAU